rnacentral:rRNA from 1 species
GACGAACGCUGGCGGCGUGCUUAACACAUGCAAGUCGAACGCUGAAGCUCUGCUUUUGUUGGGUGGUUGAGUGGCGAACGGGUGAGUAACACGUGAGUAACCUGCCCCCUUCUUUGGGAUAACGCCCGGAAACGGGGGCUAAUACUGGAUAUUCACUGGUCUUCGCUUGGGGGUUGGGGGAAGUUGUUUUUCUGGUGGGUGAUGGGCUCGCGGCCUAUCAGCUUGUUGGUGGGGUGAUGGCCUACCAAGUGUUUGACGGGUAGCCGGACUGAGAGGGUGACCGGGCACAUGGGGAGUGAGAUUCGGACCAGAAUCCUACGGGAGGCAGUAGGGGGGAAUAUUGUGCAAAGGGUGGAAGAAUGGGGCAGCGCCGGAGGGUGAGGGAUGGAGGGCUUGGGGUUGGGAACCGCUUUGGAUACCGGUCAAGCCGGAACAAUGGUUGUGGUGACGGUAGUGGGUAAAGAAGCGCCGGCUAACUACGUG